rnacentral:rRNA from 1 species
GACGAACGCUGGCGGCGUGCUUACCCCUUCCAAUUCGACCGGUAACGGGGGGGGCUUGCUCCCUCCGGUUAAUUGGCAACCGGUUGAUUAACCCUUAGGCAAUCUGCCCCGAACUCUGGGUUAACCUUUGGAAACACCUCCUAUUCCCGGUUCCGCCCCGGAGGGGCUUCCUCUCGCCUUGAAAGGAACUUCGGUUCGGGAUGAGCUCGCGGCCUAUCAGCUUGUUGGUGAGGUAACGGCUCACCAAGGCGACGACGGGUAGCCGGCCUGAGAGGGUGACCGGCCACACUGGGACUGAGACACGGCCCAGACUCCUACGGGAGGCAGCAGUGGGGAAUAUUGCACAAUGGGCGCAAGCCUGAUGCAGCAACGCCGCGUGAGGGACGACGGCCUUCGGGUUGUAAACCUCUUUUAGCAGGGAAGAAGCGAAAGUGACGGUACCUGCAGAAAAAGCACCGGCUAACUACGUG